rnacentral:lncRNA from 1 species
UUGUACUUAAGAUCUUAUUUAACUUGCAAGUUCAUUGCAAAUUAAUAUACUGCAGGUCAAAUCCUUAUGACUCAGGACUCUUAAAAGUGAGUGCAUAGAACUAAAAAGACUGCUAAAAAUUAUAAUGAAAAAUUGUAAUAGCCUUCCCCCUUUUUUUAUUCACAAUAUCACAUUGAGCUGCAUCUCAGUUCUUUGACUCCAGCUAAGUAUUGGUGUCUUCAAUGGGGUGUCCCUGUGGAUUUAAAUGUUACUGACAUGUGUAAGCAUAGACUUACCUCAUUCUUAUCAACAGCAAAUUUUCAGAGAGCUGUCAAUGUGUCAAAACUCUUGCUGAGCCUCCAAAGUUUAUUGUAUUUCCUUAUAACUGUUUAUUUAAAUUUCCACAAACUCACAUGCACUGAAAGCCCAUCAGAAAUCUUCUGAUACUACUGCAUUCCUCCUCUUCCUCAAAACCUUUGACAGCAAGUCGGAUUCUGCCUUUUGAAAGAGCAGCUAUUUUUAUUCCCAUUGCAAAAGGUUUUCCAAACUCCACAUGCAUUGUUAUGUCUCUCAAAUGCAUUACAUCACAGGACUCUUCUGAAAGGUGUCCAAACUCUGCAUUAAAACACUUGUGGGAAAAGUUGAAAAAAUAAAUGGUUUAUGUUAAAUGGUAUUUUGAAAAGGGAAUGAAAUGUAUUGCACUGAUAUGGAAAGGUAGUGCAGUAAUGAGUGCUUUGGGUUUGAAUUAAGUGUUAUGCUCUCCCUCAUUGAACUCCAUUCUGAAGUUAUGCAGACUUAGGUGUCUCUUCCCCCUUUUUCCUCCUUUUCCACUGGGUAUAGCAGAAGAGUGGUGAAGUUUGAACUCUCUGAACAUCAUGCCAUGAGAAACGUAACCAAAGCAGAAUCUUUAGCUUGGUGCUGCACCGUGCUGCAUGGAUGGGAUCCUCCUUUAAAACUCCGCUGGUGCUGUUCACAAAAAGAUCAGGCUGAGGAUGAGGACACCUGCAUUGCAGUCUCAGCAGCCUCCUCCCCUUCCUGGGACAUGAUGACCUGGUUGUCCUCAAGAGAAUGACAAAGAGACUGAAUUUUAUAAAACAUCAGAAUAAUGCUGCAAAGGCCCAGAUAAACAAAUUUUCAUACUGUGUGGUUGUGCCUGUCAGCAAUGAGUGAUACACCAAAUAUAAUGGAAGUUGUGGAGAUUUCAGCCUUCCUACAUCUUCAGUUCAGGCAUUCAGGGCCAACUGUCAAAGGAGAAAUUUGGUCAUAUUGGAAAAGACUGAGCACUGUUUGCAGAAACUGAAAGGAUUUACUUAGUUUUUUUCCCUAUUUCUAUAUUUAAGAUAAUUUGCCAUUCCAGAGCUGUUUCCCAACAUAGCAACUGAGACCCCAUGUGGCACCUGGGAAGGUAAAAAAUGUGGACAUUUUAAAGAAACCAGAAAACAUUUUCUUUUUAUUUUAUCUUGUAAAUGCAUUUGCGCUUUGCUUAAACAACACAGCAAGACAUUUCAUAUAUUCUGUUCCUAGCAAUAGACCAGAUCCUCAGCUGGUGUGAUUCUGUAUCCUUCC